rnacentral:rRNA from 1 species
GAUGAACGCUAGCUACAGGCUUAACACAUGCAAGUCGAGGGGUAACGAGAGGAAAGCUUGCUUUCCUUGUCGACGACCGGCGCACGGGUGAGUAACGCGUAUCCAACCUGCCCCCAACUAAGGAAUAACCUUGCGAAGGUAAGACUAAUACCUUAUAAUUUCCUCAGAUGUCAUCUGACGAGGAAUAAAGAUUUAUCGGUUGUGGAUGGGGAUGCGUCUGAUUAGCUUGUUGGCGGGGUAACGGCCCACCAAGGCAACGAUCAGUAGGGGUUCUGAGAGGAAGGUCCCCCACAUUGGAACUGAGACACGGUCCAAACUCCUACGGGAGGCAGCAGUGAGGAAUAUUGGUCAAUGGGCGAAAGCCUGAGCCAGCAAAGUAGCGUGAAGGAUGAGGGUCCUAUGGAUUGUAAACUUCUUUUAUAGUAGAAUAAAGUGAUCCACGUGUGGAUUUUUGUAUGUAUACUAUGAAUAAGGAUCGGCUAACUCCGUGCCAGCCGCCGCCGUAA